rnacentral:rRNA from 1 species
GGGCGUUAAGUUGCAGGGUAUAGACCCGAAACCCGGUGAUCUAGCCAUGGGCAGGUUGAAGGUUGGGUAACACUAACUGGAGGACCGAACCGACUAAUGUUGAAAAAUUAGCGGAUGACCUGUGGCUGGGGGUGAAAGGCCAAUCAAACCGGGAGAUAGCUGGUUCUCCCCGAAAGCUAUUUAGGUAGCGCCUCGUGAAUUCAUCUCCGGGGGUAGAGCACUGUUUCGGCUAGGGGGCCAUCCCGGCUUACCAACCCGAUGCAAACUGCGAAUACCGGAGAAUGUUAUCACGGGAGACACACGGCGGGUGCUAACGUCCGUCGUGAAGAGGGAAACAACCCAGACCGCCAGCUAAGGUCCCAAAGUCAUGGUUAAGUGGGAAACGAUGUGGGAAGGCCCAGACAGCCAGGAUGUUGGCUUAGAAGCAGCCAUCAUUUAAAGAAAGCGUAAUAGCUCACUGGUCGAGUCGGCCUGCGCGGAAGAUGUAACGGGGCUAAACCAUGCACCGAAGCUGCGGCAGCGACACUGUGUGUUGUUGGGUAGGGGAGCGUUCUGUAAGCCUGCGAAGGUGGCCUGUGAGGGUUGCUGGAGGUAUCAGAAGUGCGAAUGCUGACAUAAGUAACGAUAAAGCGGGUGAAAAGCCCGCUCGCCGGAAGACCAAGGGUUCCUGUCCAACGUUAAUCGGGGCAGGGUGAGUCGACCCCUAAGGCGAGGCCGAAAGGCGUAGUCGAUGGGAAACGGGUUAAUAUUCCCGUACUUGGUGUUACUGCGAAGGGGGGACGGAGAAGGCUAUGUUGGCCGGGCGACGGUUGUCCCGGUUUAAGCGUGUAGGUGUGUGUUCCAGGUAAAUCCGGUUCACUUUAACACUGAGGCGUGAUGACGAGGCACUACGGUGCUGAAGCAACAAAUGCCCUGCUUCCAGGAAAAGCCUCUAAGCAUCAGGUAACAUCAAAUCGUACCCCAAACCGACACAGGUGGUCAGGUAGAGAAUACCAAGGCGCUUGAGAGAACUCGGGUGAAGGAACUAGGCAAAAUGGUGCCGUAACUUCGGGAGAAGGCACGCUGACA